rnacentral:rRNA from 1 species
AGUGAGCGCUGGCGGUAGGCCUAACACAUGCAAGUCGAACGGCAGCACAGUAAGAGCUUGCUCUUACGGGUGGCGAGUGGCGGACGGGUGAGGAAUACAUCGGAAUCUACUUUUUCGUGGGGGAUAACGUAGGGAAACUUACGCUAAUACCGCAUACGACCUACGGGUAAAAGCAGGGGAUCUUCGGACCUUGCGCGAUUGAAUGAGCCGAUGUCGGAUUAGCUAGUUGGCGGGGUAAAGGCCCACCAAGGCGACGAUCCGUAGCUGGUCUGAGAGGAUGAUCAGCCACACUGGAACUGAGACACGGUCCAGACUCCUACGGGAGGCAGCAGUGGGGAAUAUUGGACAAUGGGCGCAAGCCUGAUCCAGCCAUACCGCGUGGGUGAAGAAGGCCUUCGGGUUGUAAAGCCCUUUUGUUGGGAAAGAAAAGCAGCAGGUUAAUACCCCGCUGUUCUGACGGUACCCAAAGAAUAAGCACCGGCUAACUUCGUG